CCGACCCACCAGGAGUCAAAACAUCAUCUCGUCAACAUCAUCUCAUCGCCUGAGGAUGAAGGGCAACAGCUGAUGUCUGCGGACCCCCAGGGCUGCAGGUAGCACCCCAGCCCCGUCCCCUUUACAAUCCUGUCCCCUGCGCCUGCUGGAAGACAGGAUUUGAUGCUUCUAAGCGCCCUGUCUUCUUGGUGGGCUGGCCUUCUCAGUAAACCCUGCCUUCGUGAUUGGACACAGCGACAGGCCGCUGGAGCCCAACCGGGUGUUUCCCGGUAACAGUUUCACUGCAGAGAAACCCGGGCCCCUCCGUAGUAGAUGCUCCAGCCCUGGACCCUGUCUUCUGACUCAGACCUGGGCCCAGCCCCAGACCUGCCCCGUGUCUCACACCCCACAGCCCAGGCUGUUUUCGGCAGAGGGCAGCUGGCUGCCGGGCUCAGCACACUCGACGUGCCCUCCAGGCCUCCCAGACCUUCUGGUCUGUCUUGGGAGCCAUGGGGUAUGUGUCAGGCGGGAAAUCUUCAGCCAGCCCAGGCCCUCCAAGUCCAAAAGGAGAUGAUGCCCUUGAGGUAGGUGGUCCUGCCUGGACCCUGGGUGAGGGCCUGGGGAGGGCACCGAGGCCCCACCUCCCACAUGUCCAGACACUGGGCCGAGGUUUACCUGGCCAGGUCCUAACUCGCACACAGCCAUUAGGGCCCGAGCAGCCUGCCCACUAAUUGCUUUUGCUAAUUGUGGACUCUGCCUCUCCUGAUGUGUCCUCCUGCCGAAGACAGAAAUAACCUGGCUCUGGGAAGGUCAUUAUCGUGGGCACUUCCUGCCGCCGCCGCAGCAGACGCUCAGCAGCGAGAGCGGGCCUGACUCAGCAUGUACUGAAGCCCGGGCCCCUUCAGCAUCCAGCCACCUGAGCUGCUGCUUGUGUCUCAGGGACAGACGGAGCGGCAGACUGGAUGAGUUGGCGAGACCGGGCCCAGGGAAGGCCCGGGGAGGGCUCACCCCGCUUCUGGGCUGUGUCAUCAGGACCCAGCCGUGCCAGGCAGAGGUGAGAGGAUUUCCUGGGCCCCUGGCCGGGCGCAGGUGGAUGGCCUUGAGCUCGGAGGCGAGUGCCCGGCCCCGGCCCGCUUCAGAGAGAGACCGUCCUCUCUGGAAGCUUCUGCCCUGCUCCCUUCCCUGGAUCCUUUGUCCUGGACUCCUGACCAGAUUGGGAACCAGCUACAACCUACUGGCCUCCUGGUUGUCCUUCGUCUCCACGUGUCGAUGCUCGCUGAUGGCCUGUGAGCUGAUGCUUCUUGAAUCUGCAUUUCGUAAUUGCUUUCCUCUGUCUUCCACGCCAGCGGUCCUGCCUCUUCCGUCUCGCAGGCAAGCACUGACCUACAUUUCCACAGGCACCGCCGUCCGUGAUGCUGCCAACAUGUCAAGUGGUGUUUAGUGCGAUGGCUCCGCUGUGGUCUGGAUGCCCGGCCCCUCGGGUUGGCAGCUCUCCCAGGCCAGCG